rnacentral:lncRNA from 1 species
GUUGUGAAGAAGGAAAUUAAAAAAAGUAACAAAAAUAUUGGGAUCUAUGUAAUUCAUAAAUUUCAAGAUCACAGAGUCAAAUGUUGUGUUGUUUCUUUGCAAAGCAAGGGCUGUGCAAAUUUUGCCUGCUGUAAAAAUAUUGCAACAGUUAAAGUGUAAUGUAGGUACAUUAGCAGAAAGCUUUCUUGUGUUAAAUUUUGAGUUAUUGAACUUGCAUGCUAAAUAUCCACUUUUUGUUUGAUAUGGACGUGCUCUGACGUCCCACAGUCUCAGCUUGUCUGGCAAAACAGAGCAAUCUGUGAAACGUGGAGACCUCUGAAGAU